AGCAGUCAGACAAGCACCAUGAAGAGGCUGCUGUGCUCUCUGCUGGGGCUGCUGUGUACCCAGGUUUGCUGGGUGAAAGGCCAACAAGUGAAGCAGAGCCCUGUGUCCUUGGUUCUGCAGGAGGGAGAGAAUGCAGAGCUGCAGUGCAACUUUUCCACAGUUUUGAACAGUAUGCAGUGGUUUCACCAAAGCCCUGGGGGACCCCUCAUCACCCUGUUUUACAAUCCUUCUGGAACAAAGCAGAGAGGAAGACUCAAGUCCACGACAGUCACUCAGGAACGCCGCAGCUCCUUGUACAUUUCCUCCUCUCAGACCACAGACUCAGGCACUUAUUUCUGUGCUAUGAUCCACAGUGCUCCCCACACACCUGCAGCCAGUACACAAACCUUCAUCUGGCCUGUUGACCCCCAGUGCUCAAGGGCAAAGAGGCAGAAGCAGCAACAGAAUGCUUUGUAUGAGGCCCAUGAGCAUGAACAGAGACAGCCCCCAGAAGGCUGCUUUUGGUGA